rnacentral:rRNA from 1 species
CCUACGGGUGGCAGCAGUAGGGAAUCUUCCACAAUGGGCGAAAGCCUGAUGGAGCAACGCCGCGUGGGUGAAGAAGGUCUUCGGAUCGUAAAACUCUGUUGUUAGAGAAGAAAGUGCGUGAGAGUAACUGUUCACGUUUCGACGGUAUCUAACCAGAAAGCCACGGCUAACUACGUGCCAGCAGCCGCGGUAAUACGUAGGUGGCAAGCGUUAUCCGGAUGUAUUGGGCGUAAAGGGAACGCAGGCGGUCUUUUAAGUCUGAUGUGAAAGCCUUCGGCUUAACCGGAGUAGUGCAUUGGAAACUGGGAGACUUGAGUGCAGAAGAGGGGAGUGGAACUCCAUGUGUAGCGGUGAAAUGCGUAGAUAUAUGGAAGAACACCAGUGGCGAAGGCGGCUCCCUGGUCGGUAACUGACGCUGAGGUUCGAAAGCGUGGGUAGCAAACAGGAUUAGAUACCCGGGUAGUC